GAGAUGCGUUGGCCUAAUGGUUAGCGCAACGUUGGACUCCGGAUCGAGUGGUCUGGGUUCGAACCCUGGCCUGGCUCA